rnacentral:rRNA from 1 species
AGAGUUUGAUCAUGGCUCAGAUUGAACGCUGGCGGCAGGCCUAACACAUGCAAGUCGAACGGUAACAGGAAGCAGCUUGCUGCUUUGCUGACGAGUGGCGGACGGGUGAGUAAUGCCUGGGAAAUUGCCCAGUCGAGGGGGAUAACAGUUGGAAACGACUGCUAAUACCGCAUAAUGUCGCAAGACCAAAGAGGGGGACCUUCGGGCCUCUUGCCAUCGGAUGUGCCCAGAUGGGAUUAGCUUGUUGGUGAGGUAACGGCUCACCAAGGCGACGAUCCCUAGCUGGUCUGAGAGGAUGACCAGCCACACUGGAACUGAGACACGGUCCAGACUCCUACGGGAGGCAGCAGUGGGGAAUAUUGCACAAUGGGCGCAAGCCUGAUGCAGCCAUGCCGCGUGUAUGAAGAAGGCCUUCGGGUUGUAAAGUACUUUCAGCGGGGAGGAAGGGGUUAAGGUUAAUAACCUUAGCCAUUGACGUUACCCGCAGAAGAAGCACCGGCUAACUCCGUGCCAGCCGCCGCGGUAAUAC